UGAUCGCAUUUGAUAGACGUCGUUCGACUCGUAAUCGAUGAAGUUAAAACUUGGAAAUUCGGAGUAUUCUGUGUCCAAUCGUAAAAUCAUGAAGAUCCUGUUGGCGAUAGCCUGUUUGGUUGCACUAGCUUCAACUUUAGAGAACGAUAAUCUGACCGUCACCGAUCAAGUCUACUUCGACAUUAUGAUAGACGACCAUCCAGCUGGUCGAAUCGUAAUUGGUUUAUUCGGUGAAACUGUACCAAAGACUGUUAAGAAUUUUCUUGUUUUAUCGACAACUGGAGUAGCAGGAAAAACGUAUAAGGGAAGUAUAUUUCAUCGUGUAAUUAAGAAGUUCAUGGUACAAGGUGGAGAUAUAGAAAAUGAUGAUGGGACUGGAUCGAUUAGUAUCUAUGGAAAAUAUUUUGAGGAUGAGAAUUUUGAACUUGGACACAAUGGUCCCCUGUAUGUGAGUAUGGCGAAUGCUGGAAAGGAUACCAAUGGUUGUCAAUUCUUCAUCACAACCAUAUCUACACCAUGGUUAGACGGAAAACACACGGUGUUUGGAAAGGUUAUUGACGGUGAACACGUGGUUUUUAAAAUUGAACAAACUAGGACAAACGCGGAUGAUGUGCCGAUUAAACCAGUGGUUAUCUAUGAUAGUGGUUCUAUUCCCACGCCUUCGCCUUUUAAAAUAAACGAUCACGUUUAUAAUAUCUGGGCAUGGAUAAAAGCAACAUCGAUACCAUUAGGUUUCAGCUUCUCGAUCCUUGGCUUUUUCCAUUACAUGUUGAAGCAGUUGGAUAUAACGGAGAUAUAAAUACUUUCCUGAAAUUUUAGCAAAGGAUUUAUUUUACAAUAACCCUUGAAAAUUUUAUGGCAAACGAUAGACAUAAACACCUAGGCCAUAAAUAUAAAGAUUUAACAGUAAAACACAAACAAGGGAAUUUAAUAAAUGAUUUAGUGUAGUGACAGUGAGUGUGCGCACGCACUCUAUUGUUUACAACCGCGGCUGAGGUUGCGAUGAGCCUGCGCCGCUUCAGUUCGUCUUCAACGAUUCAUCGAGCAUCACCUGGGUGCUAAUCGGUGUACCGCAAUUUAUUUCAUCAUUAUUCUUUAAAAUUUUAUUAUUUUCUUGUAUUAAACAAUUGUUUUAACAAUUAACAUUUAUUAUUUCAGUAUAUUUGGAUAUGGUGGUAUAAUCUUUUUUAA